GUUAAGCGACUAAGCGUACACGGUGGAUGCCCUGGCAGUCAGAGGCGAUGAAGGACGUGCUAAUCUGCGAUAAGCGUCGGUAAGGUGAUAUGAACCGUUAUAACCGGCGAUUUCCGAAUGGGGAAACCCAGUGUGAUUCGUCACACUAUCAUUAACUGAAUCCAUAGGUUAAUGAGGCGAACCGGGGGAACUGAAACAUCUAAGUACCCCGAGGAAAAGAAAUCAACCGAGAUUCCCCCAGUAGCGGCGAGCGAACGGGGAGGAGCCCAGAGCCUGAAUCAGUGUGUGUGUUAGUGGAAGCGUCUGGAAAGGCGCGCGAUACAGGGUGACAGCCCCGUACACAAAAAUGCACAUGCUGUGAGCUCGAUGAGUAGGGCGGGACACGUGGUAUCCUGUCUGAAUAUGGGGGGACCAUCCUCCAAGGCUAAAUACUCCUGACUGACCGAUAGUGAACCAGUACCGUGAGGGAAAGGCGAAAAGAACCCCGGCGAGGGGAGUGAAAAAGAACCUGAAACCGUGUACGUACAAGCAGUGGGAGCCUCUUUAUGGGGUGACUGCGUACCUUUUGUAUAAUGGGUCAGCGACUUAUAUUCUGUAGCAAGGUUAACCGAAUAGGGGAGCCGAAGGGAAACCGAGUCUUAACUGGGCGUUAAGUUGCAGGGUAUAGACCCGAAACCCGGUGAUCUAGCCAUGGGCAGGUUGAAGGUUGGGUAACACUAACUGGAGGACCGAACCGACUAAUGUUGAAAAAUUAGCGGAUGACUUGUGGCUGGGGGUGAAAGGCCAAUCAAACCGGGAGAUAGCUGGUUCUCCCCGAAAGCUAUUUAGGUAGCGCCUCGUGAAUUCAUCUCCGGGGGUAGAGCACUGUUUCGGCAAGGGGGUCAUCCCGACUUACCAACCCGAUGCAAACUGCGAAUACCGGAGAAUGUUAUCACGGGAGACACACGGCGGGUGCUAACGUCCGUCGUGAAGAGGGAAACAACCCAGACCGCCAGCUAAGGUCCCAAAGUCAUGGUUAAGUGGGAAACGAUGUGGGAAGGCCCAGACAGCCAGGAUGUUGGCUUAGAAGCAGCCAUCAUUUAAAGAAAGCGUAAUAGCUCACUGGUCGAGUCGGCCUGCGCGGAAGAUGUAACGGGGCUAAACCAUGCACCGAAGCUGCGGCAGCGACGCUUAUGCGUUGUUGGGUAGGGGAGCGUUCUGUAAGCCUGUGAAGGUGUGCUGUGAGGCAUGCUGGAGGUAUCAGAAGUGCGAAUGCUGACAUAAGUAACGAUAAAGCGGGUGAAAAGCCCGCUCGCCGGAAGACCAAGGGUUCCUGUCCAACGUUAAUCGGGGCAGGGUGAGUCGACCCCUAAGGCGAGGCCGAAAGGCGUAGUCGAUGGGAAACAGGUUAAUAUUCCUGUACUUGGUGUUACUGCGAAGGGGGGACGGAGAAGGCUAUGUUGGCCGGGCGACGGUUGUCCCGGUUUAAGCGUGUAGGCUGGUUUUCCAGGCAAAUCCGGAAAAUCAAGGCUGAGGCGUGAUGACGAGGCACUACGGUGCUGAAGCAACAAAUGCCCUGCUUCCAGGAAAA
rnacentral:rRNA from 1 species